rnacentral:rRNA from 1 species
CCUACGGGAGGCAGCAGUAAGGAAUAUUGGUCAAUGGACGCAAGUCUGAACCAGCCAUGCCGCGUGAAGGAUGAAGGCCCUCUGGGUUGUAAACUUCUUUUAUCUGGGAAGAAAUCCACUGUUUCCACGGUGGUUGACGGUACCAGAGGAAUAAGCACCGGCUAACUCCGUGCCAGCAG